AAAUUGAAGAGUUUGAUCAUGGCUCAGAUUGAACGCUGGCGGCAGGCCUAACACAUGCAAGUCGAACGGUAGCACAGAGAGCUUGCUCUCGGGUGACGAGUGGCGGACGGGUGAGUAAUGUCUGGGAAACUGCCUGAUGGAGGGGGAUAACUACUGGAAACGGUGGCUAAUACCGCAUAACGUCGCAAGACCAAAGAGGGGGACCUUCGGGCCUCUUGCCAUCAGAUGUGCCCAGAUGGGAUUAGCUUGUUGGUGAGGUAACGGCUCACCAAGGCGACGAUCCCUAGCUGGUCUGAGAGGAUGACCAGCCACACUGGAACUGAGACACGGUCCAGACUCCUACGGGAGGCAGCAGUGGGGAAUAUUGCACAAUGGGCGCAAGCCUGAUGCAGCCAUGCCGCGUGUAUGAAGAAGGCCUUCGGGUUGUAAAGUACUUUCAGCGGGGAGGAAGGUGUUGCGGUUAAUAACCGCAGCAAUUGACGUUACCCGCAGAAGAAGCACCGGCUAACUCCGUGCCAGCAGCCGCGGUAAUACGGAGGGUGCAAGCGUUAAUCGGAAUUACUGGGCGUAAAGCGCACGCAGGCGGUCUGUCAAGUCGGAUGUGAAAUCCCCGGGCUCAACCUGGGAACUGCAUUCGAAACUGGCAGGCUUGAGUCUUGUAGAGGGGGGUAGAAUUCCAGGUGUAGCGGUGAAAUGCGUAGAGAUCUGGAGGAAUACCGGUGGCGAAGGCGGCCCCCUGGACAAAGACUGACGCUCAGGUGCGAAAGCGUGGGGAGCAAACAGGAUUAGAUACCCUGGUAGUCCACGCCGUAAACGAUGUCUACUUGGAGGUUGUGCCCUUGAGGCGUGGCUUCCGGAGCUAACGCGUUAAGUAGACCGCCUGGGGAGUACGGCCGCAAGGUUAAAACUCAAAUGAAUUGACGGGGGCCCGCACAAGCGGUGGAGCAUGUGGUUUAAUUCGAUGCAACGCGAAGAACC
rnacentral:rRNA from 1 species